rnacentral:rRNA from 1 species
CAGUCGCCACGGUAAUACGUAUGUCGCGAGCGUUAUCCGGAAUUAUUGGGCAUAAAGGGCAUCUAGGCGGCCGGAUAAGUCUGGGGUGAAAACUUGCGGCUCAACCGCAAGCCUGCCCUGGAAACUAUGCGGCUAGAGUACUGGAGAGGUGGACGGAACUGCACGAGUAGAGGUGAAAUUCGUAGAUAUGUGCAGGAAUGCCGAUGAUGAAGAUAGUUCACUGGACGGUAACUGACGCUGAAGUGCGAAAGCUAGGGGAGCAAACAGGAUUAGAUACCCGUGUAGUCCCUGUCUCUUAUAC